AACGAACGCUGGCGGCGCGCCUAAUACAUGCAAGUCGAACGAGAAGGUGUAGCAAUACACUUGUACAGUGGCGAACGGGUGAGGAAUGCAUGGGCAACCUACCCUCGAGUGGGGAAUAACCAGCCGAAAGGUUGGCUAAUACCGCGUACGCUUCCGGGUCUCCGGAUCCGGAAGGAGAGUCACACCGGUGGGUGUGACGCUAC
rnacentral:rRNA from 1 species